rnacentral:rRNA from 1 species
AUUGAACGCUGGCGGAAUGCUUUACACAUGCAAGUCGAACGGCAGCACGGGGGCAACCCUGGUGGCGAGUGGCGAACGGGUGAGUAAUACAUCGGAACGUGCCCAGUCGUGGGGGAUAACGUAGCGAAAGUUACGCUAAUACCACAUACGAUCUACGGAUGAAAGCGGGGGACCGUAAGGCCUCGCGCGAUUGGAGCGGCCGAUGUCAGAUUAGGUAGUUGGUGAGGUAAAGGCUCACCAAGCCGACGAUCUGUAGCUGGUCUGAGAGGACGACCAGCCACACUGGGACUGAGACACGGCCCAGACUCCUACGGGAGGCAGCAGUGGGGAAUUUUGGACAAUGGGCGCAAGCCUGAUCCAGCCAUUCCGCGUGCAGGACGAAGGCCUUCGGGUUGUAAACUGCUUUUGUACGGAACGAAAGGGCUCUGGUUAAUACCUGGGGCUCAUGACGGUACCGUAAGAAUAAGCACCGGCUAACUACGUGCCAGCCGCCGCGGUAA